rnacentral:lncRNA from 1 species
GGCGAUCUGCAUUUAUGAACGAGCUUGACCCAUCACAUGAAGAUCCCUAAAUAUUGCUCAUCUUUCUAUCUAUUGCACCGUACGAUUAACCAACCAAACCAUUCUGAUCUGCCGCUCCACUCCUCUCUAUUAGUUUGGGCUCGCUCUCAUUGUCUAUGUUAUCCUUCUUAUUGGAAUUAGAUCCAACAUACCAUGCUACACCUGGCUAGAAGCCUUUGAAAAUUGAGCACGUAUAUCACCUUGAUCAUGGGGUAGACAUGCUUUCUAUAUAAGCGAAUCACUUGAGCUCUAGGGAUGGUGGCGAUACAGUGAAUUGGGUAAUCACCACCAUGUAGGAGGCAGGUGCCUCAUUAGAGGAGGCAAUGUUGGCAGUACAGUGACUUGGUAUCAUGGUUAGAAACACAUCCUCUAUAUGGAAAUCACUUCACUUGAGCUUUGGCAAUGUUGGCAGUACAGUGACUUGGUUGUCACCACCGUGGAAGAAGAAGAUAAUGUAUUAGAUAAGGCACAUGUAUCAUAGGGUAGAAAUGCUUCCUCUAUGAGAGAAUCACUCCACUUGAGCUUUGGCGAUGGCGGUGGCGUAAUAACUUGGGUCGUCGCCACCAUGGAGGAUGAAGAUGCGAUACGUAUCAUAGGGUAAAAAUACAUCCUCUAUAAGAAAAUCUCUUCACUUAAGCUCCACUAAGGUGGCGAAGCAGUGAUUUGGGUUGUUGUCGCAAGGGGUGCAUCGAUCCGAGCCAAGUAGCUUGUCAUUCGAGCUCGACUCGAUUCGACUCGAGGUUGACUACCCUAUCAAAAUGCUCGAGAUUUAAGUAUGGAGCAGCUUGUCAUAAUACUUGGUCUCCAAACUUGACUCGAGAUCGAUUGAGCCUUAAUAUUUGAGCUCGAAUUA